rnacentral:rRNA from 1 species
UACGUAGGGUGCGAGCGUUAAUCGGAAUUACUGGGCGUAAAGCGUGCGCAGGCGGUUUUGUAAGCCAGAUGUGAAAUCCCCGGGCUUAACCUGGGAAUGGCAUUUGGGACUGCAAGGCUGGAGUUUGGCAGAGGAGACUGGAAUUCCUGGUGUAGCAGUGAAAUGCGUAGAUAUCAGGAGGAAUACCGAUGGCGAAGGCAGGUCUCUGGGCUAUAACUGACGCUCAUGCACGAAAGCGUGGGGAGCAAACG